rnacentral:rRNA from 1 species
GAUGAACGCUGGCGGCGUGCCUAAUACAUGCAAGUCGAGCGAACAGAUGAGGAGCUUGCUCCUCUGACGUUAGCGGCGGACGGGUGAGUAACACGUGGAUAACCUACCUAUAAGACUGGGAUAACUUCGGGAAACCGGAGCUAAUACCGGAUAAUAUAUUGAACCGCAUGGUUCAAUAGUGAAAGACGGUUUUGCUGUCACUUAUAGAUGGAUCCGCGCCGCAUUAGCUAGUUGGUAAGGUAACGGCUUACCAAGGCAACGAUGCGUAGCCGACCUGAGAGGGUGAUCGGCCACACUGGAACUUAGACACGGUCCAGACUCCUACGGGAGGCAGCAGUAGGGAAUCGUCCGCAAUGGGCGAAAGCCUGACGGAGCAACGCCGCGUGAGUGAUGAAGGUCUUCGGAUCGUAAAACUCUGUUAUUAGGGAAGAACAAAUGUGUAAGUAACUAUGCACGUCUUGACGGUACCUAAUCAGAAAGCCACGGCUAACUACGUG